AUACUAUGGUUCCUCUUCGUUUUGGAUAAAUAUUGUGCCUUUUACUAAAGAUUUCUGAUGAGAGAAAAAGCUCUGAGUCUUGUGCUAAUUGUUUGAGGCCUUACUUUGACGGCA